rnacentral:rRNA from 1 species
UACGUAGGGUGCAAGCGUUGUCCGGAAUUAUUGGGCGUAAAGAGCUCGUAGGCGGUCUGUCGCGUCUGCUGUGAAAACUCAGGGCUUAACCCUGAGCUUGCAGUGGGUACGGGCAGACUAGAGUGCGGUAGGGGAGACUGGAAUUCCUGGUGUAGCGGUGAAAUGCGCAGAUAUCAGGAGGAACACCGGUGGCGAAGGCGCCACUCUGGGCCGAAACUGACGCUGAGGAGCGAAAGCGUUGGGUAGCAAACAGG